rnacentral:rRNA from 1 species
GUGAAACCACUUCGGUGGUGGAAAGUAGCGCACGGGUGAGUAACGCGUGGGAAUUUACACUUCAGUACGGAACAACAGUUGGAAACGACUGCUAAUACCGUAUAAUGACUCCGGUCCAAAGAUUUAUCGCUGAAGGAUAAGCCCGCGUCUGAUUAGCUAGUUGGUAAGGUAAGAGCUUACCAAGGCGACGAUCAGUAGCUGGUUUGAGAGGAUGACCAGCCACACUGGAACUGAGACACGGUCCAGACUCCUACGGGAGGCAGCAGUGAGGAAUAUUGGACAAUGGGCGAAAGCCUGAUCCAGCCAUGCCGCGUGAGUGAAGAAGGCCUUCGGGUUGUAAAGCUCUUUCAAUCGUGAAGAUAAUGACGGUAGCGAUAGAAGAAGCUCCGGCUAACUCAGUGCCAGCAGCCGCGGUAAUACUGGGGGAGCGAGCGUUGUUCGGAAUCACUGGGCGUAAAGCGUGCGCAGGCGGAUUGGAAAGUCAGAAGUGAAAGCCCAGGGCUCAACCCUGGAACUGCUUUUGAAACUUCCUUUCUAGAGUAUGGUAGAGGUUGGGAGAAUUCCUAGUGUAGAGGUGAAAUUCGUAGAUAUUAGGAGGAAUACCAGUGGCGU